rnacentral:rRNA from 1 species
CCCUUAGAUGUUCUGGGCCGCACGCGCGCUACACUGAUGCAUUCAACGAGUCUAAAACCUGGUCUGAUAGGGCUGGGUAAUCUUUUGAAUGUGCAUCGUGAUUGGGAUAGAUGAUUGCAAUUCUUCAUCUUCAACGAGGAAUGCCUAGUAAACGCAAGUCAUCAGCUUGCAUUGAUUACGUCCUUGCCCUUUGUACACACCGCCCGUCGCUCCUACCGAUUGAAUGUUCCGAUGAAUACCAUGGACUGAGAGUAUGAAUGGGUUCGCCUAUUUCUGCUUCUCGGGAAGUGGAGUAAAUCUUAACAUUUAGAGGAAGGAGAAGUCGUAACA